rnacentral:rRNA from 1 species
AUUGAACGCUGGCGGCAGGCCUAACACAUGCAAGUCGAGCGGAUGAAGGGAGCUUGCGCCUGGAUUCAGCGGCGGACGGGUGAGUAAUGCCUAGGAAUCUGCCUGGUAGUGGGGGAUAACGUCCGGAAACGGGCGCUAAUACCGCAUACGUCCUGAGGGAGAAAGUGGGGGAUCUUCGGACCUCACGCUAUCAGAUGAGCCUAGGUCGGAUUAGCUAGUUGGUGGGGUAAAGGCCUACCAAGGCGACGAUCCGUAACUGGUCUGAGAGGAUGAUCAGUCACACUGGAACUGAGACACGGUCCAGACUCCUACGGGAGGCAGCAGUGGGGAAUAUUGGACAAUGGGCGAAAGCCUGAUCCAGCCAUGCCGCGUGUGUGAAGAAGGUCUUCGGAUUGUAAAGCACUUUAAGUUGGGAGGAAGGGCAGUAAGUUAAUACCUUGCUGUUUUGACGUUACCAACAGAAUAAGCACCGGCUAACUUCGUG